AGCUGAGGCCGAAAGGCGUAGGUGAUGGACAACAGGUUGAUAUUCCUGUACUACCGAUAACCGUUUGAGAGAAGGGAUGACACAGUAGGAUAAGCUAAGCACACUGUUGGUUAUGUGUGCCCAAGCAUUGAGGCAGUCAAAGUAGGCAAAUCCGCUUUGAUAAUGCUGGGAUGUGAUGGGGAGCGAAAUUUAGUAGCGAAGUAGCUGAUUUCACACUGUCAAGAAAAGUCUCUAUCGAGGUUAAAGGUACCCGUACCGCAAACCGACACAGGUGGGUGAGGAGAGUAUCCUAAGGCCAGCGAGAGAACUGUUGUUAAGGAACUCGGCAAAAUGACCCCGUAACUUAGGGAUAAGGGGUGCCACCAUCAGGUGGCCGCAGAGAAUAGGCCCAAGCGACUGUUUACCAAAAACAUAGGUUUCUGCUAAGUCGCAAGACGAUGUAUAGGAGCUGACGCCUGCCCGGUGCUGGAAGGUUAAGGGGAUCUGUUAGAGCAAUCGAAGCAGUGAACUUAAGCCCCAGUAAACGGCGGCCGUAACUAUAACGGUCCUAAGGUAGCGAAAUUCCUUGUCGGGUAAGUUCCGACCCGCACGAAAGGCGUAACGAUUUGGGCACUGUCUCAACAACAGACUCGGUGAAAUUGUAAUUCCGGUGAAGAUGCCGGAUACCUGCGACAGGACGGAAAGACCCCAUGGAGCUUUACUGUAGCUUGACAUUGGGUCUUGGUACUACAUGUACAGGAUAGGUGGGAGGCUUUGAAACCAGGACGCCAGUUUUGGCGGAGCCAUCCUUGGGAUACCACCCUUGUAGUACUGGGACUCUAACCAUAGGCCAUGAAUCUGGUCUUGGGACACUGUCAGGUGGGCAGUUUGACUGGGGCGGUCGCCUCCCAAAAGGUAACGGAGGCGCUCAAAGGUUCUCUCAGUACGGUCGGAAAUCGUACGUAGAGUGUAAAGGCAAAAGAGAGCUUGAUUGCAAGACAUACAGGUCGAGCAAGGAUGAAAAUCGGACUUAGUGAUCCGGUGGUUCUGCGUGGAAGGGCCAUCGCUCAACGGAUAAAAGCUACCCUGGGGAUAACAGGCUUAUCUCCCCCAAGAGUCCACAUCGACGGGGAGGUUUGGCACCUCGAUGUCGGCUCAUCACAUCCUGGGGCUGUAGUAGGUCCCAAGGGUUGGGCUGUUCGCCCAUUAAAGUGGUACGCGAGCUGGGUUCAGAACGUCGUGAGACAGUUCGGUCCCUAUCCGUCGCAGGCGUAGGAAAUUUGAGAAGACCUGUCCUUAGUACGAGAGGACCGGGAUGGACG
rnacentral:rRNA from 1 species